UACGAAGGUGGCAAGCGUUACUCGGAAUUACUAGGCGUAAAGGGCAGGUAGGCGGUCUCGUUAGUCUGUUGUGAAAGCUCCUUGCUUAACGGGGAGAGGCCAACAGAUACUGCGAGGCUUGAGUAUAGGAGAGGGUACUGGAAUUCCCGGUGUAGCGGUGAAAUGCGCAGAGAUCGGGAGGAACACCAAUGGCGAAAGCAGGUACCUGGACUAUUACUGACGCUCAGCUGCGAAAGCUAGGGGAGCAAACAGGG
rnacentral:rRNA from 1 species